GAUGAACGCUGGCGGCGUGCCUAAUACAUGCAAGUCGAGCGAACAGAUGAGGAGCUUGCUCCUCUGACGUUAGCGGCGGACGGGUGAGUAACACGUGGAUAACCUACCUAUAAGACUGGGAUAACUUCGGGAAACCGGAGCUAAUACCGGAUAAUAUAUUGAACCGCAUGGUUCAAUAGUGAAAGACGGUUUUGCUGUCACUUAUAGAUGGAUCCGCGCCGCAUUAGCUAGUUGGUAAGGUAACGGCUUACCAAGGCAACGAUGCGUAGCCGACCUGAGAGGGUGAUCGGCCACACGGGAACAGAGACACGGUCCAGACUCCGACGGGAGGCAGCAGUAGGGAAUCUUACGCAAGGGGCGAAAGCCUGACGGAGCAACGCCGCGUGAGUGAUGAAGGUCUUCGGAUCGUAAAGCUCUGUUAUUAGGGAAGAACAAAUGUGUAAGUAACUAUGCACGUCUUGACGGUACCUAAUCAGAAAGCCACGGCUAACUACGUG
rnacentral:rRNA from 1 species